GAGGUGUCACAACAUAUCUCAUUUCGACUCAUCGGUCAACUUCAAUCAACUUCUAACCUCUUCUUCGCAC
ensembl:ncRNA Y38C1AA.17 ncRNA